AACACGCAGGACGUCUCGGUGUUUUUUCGCCUCACCAGCAGCAGUAGGCCUCGAUUUCGUGAGUUUUGGUUUAUUUGUGUGUUUGCCGUUUGCUGUUCUGGUGUGUUAUUUUUUUUUGCAUUAAGCUCGUGUUCCUGUAUCCGUGACAUCAAGAUAAAUCGAUACGGAAUUCCGUUGGUGGAAAUGCAGGUGGUAGCCAUGGACAAUUGUUGUUGUAUUAAAUAAAGCUAAUAGAGAAUGUUGGCUCUACCAGCAACAAAAAAAACACUGAAACAAGACGUUAUCGAUUGUGUUCAAGCGAACCAAGCUAAUAAAACUCAAAUAUCAAAGGUACGGCAGCAACACCACCUGUGUUUUGGCAUUAUAAUUUUUACUGCCCCACAAUCAACCGGAUCGAAAUGUCAGACGGUCAUACGGCUGAAGCUUUCCCAACGCCACGCCGCCUGCGCGGUUCAAUUCUUCCCGGAAUGUGUCACGGACGGAUCGGACCGAAGCUGAACCAACUCCGCACACACACUAACCUUAAAAAUUAACUAACCGUAAUAAAAUCGAAAACUAUGAAGAAAAUGUUGCUCUAAUAAGACAGCGGUAAAAAAAGCACCCGCUAGACUUUCUUCCAGCUCGAUAAAGCAAGCAACAGCAGCAACCGGCUGGAAGCUACCGUAAACAAACCGCGUCCACUUUACGAUUAUGUGCGAUAAUCAUUAUGCCGAAAAAAAAGACCCUCAGUGGCCGGCUCGUAAAGGUGGCGGGCGUGGUACGUGUGUACGAGCUACCCGGGGGAGCCACAUCCGAAGGGCAUAUCGUACCGUAGAGGCUGAAGGUGACCAGACCUCGCUCGGCAUUUACACCAAACCGUUGGAGGCGGGCUUGGGGAGAGAAAAGGAAAUCCUUUCCACGAAACGAGCCCACAGUAAUCCGCUUAGGCAUGGAUGGUGUGUGUCAGGGAAGGUGUUGGAAAUUUGUUCCCUAAACCUAACGGCACAUACUCCUUCAUCUUGCGGAGA